GAGAACACAGGGAAGUCCAGGUACUGGCAAGCAGCAAGAACCCAAUUACAAGUGCACAAGACCAAGGAAUGGGCCCAGGAAUCCUUUGGAGGAAAUAUGGAGAGCAUUGGCAAUAGUUGUUAAGGGCAGAGCUGGAUGGAGGUCAUGA
rnacentral:lncRNA from 1 species